GGGCCCGUAGCUCAUUGGUAGAGCAGACGGCUCAUAACCGUCUGGUAGUUGGUUCGAUCCCAACCGGGCCCACCA
rnacentral:tRNA from 5 species